rnacentral:rRNA from 1 species
UACGGGGGGGGCAAGCGUUGUUCGGAAUUACUGGGCGUAAAGGGCUCGUAGGCGGCCAACUAAGUCGGAUGUGAAAUCCCCAGGCUUAACCUGGGAACUGCAUCCGAUACUGGAUGGCUUGAAUCCGGGAGAGGGAUGCAGAAUUCCAGGUGUAGCGGUGAAAUGCGUAGAUAUCGGGAGGAACACCUGUGGCGAAAGCGGCUCUCUGGACCACAACUGACGCUGAGGCGCGAAAGCUAGGGGAGCAAACAGGG